UACGGGGGAUGCAAGCGUUAUCCGGAAUUAUUGGGCGUAAAGCGUCCGUAGGCGGCGAUACAAGUCUGCUGUUAAAGAGUGCAGCUUAACUGCAUAACGGCGGUGGAAACUGUAUAGCUAGAGUGUGGUAGGGGUAGAGGGAAUUCCCGGUGUAGCGGUGAAAUGCGUAGAUAUCGGGAAGAACACCAGUGGCGAAGGCGCUCUACUGGGCCACAACUGACGCUGAUGGACGAAAGCUAGGGGAGCGAAAGGG
rnacentral:rRNA from 1 species